rnacentral:rRNA from 1 species
AUGAACGCUGGCGGCGUGCCUAAUACAUUCCAGUCGAGCGGACAGACGAGGAGCUUGCUCCUCUGACGUUAGCGGCGGCCGGGUGAGUAACACGUGGAUAACCUACCUAUAAGACUGGGAUAACUUCGGGAAACCGGAGCUAAUACCGGAAAAUAUAUUGAACCGCAUGGUUCAAUAGUGAAUGACGGUUUUGCUGUCACUUAUAGGUGGAUCCGCGCCGCAUUAGCUAGUUGGUAAGGUAACGGCUUACCAAGGCAACGAUGCGUAGCCGACCUGAGAGGGUGAUCGGCCACACUGGAACUGAGACACGGUCCAGACUCCUACGGGAGGCAGCAGUAGGGAAUCUUCCGCAAUGGGCGAAAGCCUGACGGAGCAACGCCGCGUGAGUGAUGAAGGUCUUCGGAUCGUAAAACUCUGUUAUUAGGGAAGAACAAAUGUGUAAGUAACUAUGCACGUCUUGACGGUACCUAAUCAGAAAGCCACGGCUAACUACGUG